UUUCCGUAGGUGAACCUGCGGAAGGAUCAUUAAAGAACGCCCCGUUUUUUGAAAUGGGUAAUUCUAAACCGUGUAUACAUACCUUUGUUGCUUUGGCAGGCCGCCCCUCAGGGCGUCGGCUCCGGCUGACCGCGCCUGCCAGAGGACCCAAACUCUUUUGUUUAGUGAUGUCUGAGUACUAUAUAAUAGUUAAAACUUUCAACAACGGAUCUCUUGGUUCUG
rnacentral:misc_RNA from 1 species